UACGUGUGAUUCGAUCGAGAGAGAGAGAGAGAGAUUGGUUUGGAUCGAUGAUCGUUAUUCGCAGUCGAGUAGGUCGUUUCUGGUUUUGUUCUAAUACGUGUGUUUGUUUGUAAAAUUCAUGAAGGAGAUUAGAGUAUCGAGUCUAAUUUGGGAGCGGAGUAAGAUCGAUCGUUCAUGUCGACGACAAUCAAAUCAAUCCAUCGGUCGUCGUACGUUUACAGUUUGUUCGCUAUUUGAGAAUGACGCGUUGUGUAACAGAGGGAUACGAUUAGGUCUCGUAUCUCGAUCAUCUGUGCGAAACUAUUGCUUUUUUAUUUAUUGAUGUAUUGUUAAGGUAGGUUCUUCUUGUUGCAAAAGGGAUGAAUGAGGAUAUAUAUAAUCAUGGCUGGCUACUCUUUGAUGUAUCGGUGGAGAUAAAACAUUCCGGACUUGCUCUUUAUUGGGAUUCUAGGUUGUAGCAAACGGUAGUGGAUAUAUGUUUCUGCUUACGGAAAGAUCAAAGCUAUGGUCUCCAUCAUCCAUCCACUCUUGGUGAUCGAUCCCAAAGAGGAUUUAAGUUUUGGGUUACCAUUAGCUGAGUGAAGGGCCUCAUUCAUAGUUAUCACCCAUACAUGGUUGGCGGUUAAAGUUUUUUUUUUACUUGAUGUUACUUUUGAUCGUUGGGUGGCUAGGAGGGAGAACUGAGAGACAAGGGAGGUUUCAUGUGGAAGCUUUUGUGAUAUCUGCAACUUCGUUCUGUUCUACAAGUGCUUGGUUUGCCGUAGCUGGUGUCCUAUUUGCUUCCUUUUCUUCGCCGUCAGUAUGUUAAAGAUGCAAAGGUAUGAAUGAUUCUGUAUUAUUUGUUUGCAACUAUCUAUUAUAAUUCAUUCAUUUUCUUACAUGAUCACACAAAUACCAUCUAGUUUUUAAAGAAAUAUAACUGAUUAGUGAAACAUUAGUCGAUCCACGAAAAGAUCAAAGCUAUGCUCCGCACGUUUGAUGAUCCUUAACCCAAAGGUAUUUGCAAAUUUUGAUUCCUCCAUGAAUUUGUUCUUUACUGUUUGUGGGAACUGUUUAAUGUUUGUUUUGCCAUAAGACACAUCUUGUGACUUGCAGGAGCACCAAAGUUUCAGAAUUUUUAGCCACGGGCAGGUCAAUUAGAUGUCCUUCUCUUUUCUUCUAACUCAACUUACCUCUGACUGAUUGUGUGAUAUCUUGUGUUUGUUUCCUUUUUAGAUUUCAUGGGUACACGAUAUGUCUUUUGGCUCCUUAAGGUUCUUUUGAGUUUUGUCUUUGCUUGUUCUCACCAUACUUUGUUGUCUACAGUUGGGUUUGUGUAUAACUGAUCUUUUUUGUUUCUAAAUUGGUUGCUUCGAGCGAGGUUCUGAAUGCACAAAUUGACAGUACCGUUGGAAGAAAGUUGCUUGGUUUAGCCGCCGCUUCAUGUGCUACACUUCUCCGGUGGCGCAAUUGGAGAUACCAUUUGAGUUCUGACAUUCGACUUGUGGUUCUUGCUACUGUACAAUGUUGGAGAGCGUUAGUGGUUCUUUCUUCUGUUCAUAUAUGUUACUUUACUUUGUCAUUUUAAUUUUCUCGGUGCAGAGCCUUAAAGUUCCGGGUUGAGUGGAGACAAUGGAGGUUUCAUGUGUCUAAGAGGGAGUAGCAAGCAUUCUGGGAGACAAGGGAGGUUUCAUGUGGAAGGUGGUUUUGUGAUAUCUGAUUAUUUUCUCCUCUGCAACUUUAUUCUGUUCUACAAGGUAGUAGUCUCUUUUUAGGGAACCAAGGAAAUGUGCCACUGAUUUGAAGGAGAAAUUACAUCACAAGUUUGUAUGGUUGUCUACUUGUCUGUAGUUAUAUCCAUGCUCCUGCAUGGAGACAAUAAGAUGUCCCUUAAGAAUAUGCAAGAAAGGUCAAUUAGAUAUCUGUGCAAACUGAUGUUCUCUAAGUGAAUUAGAUGUCCUGCUUUCCAUCAAACUGAUGUUCUCUAAGUGAAUUAGAUGUCCUGCUUUCCAUCUAACUCAAAGUUAAGUUCUUCUAUGUUCUGCAACAUGAGACUUUUCUUAAAUUAUACUAAAUUGUGCAACAUGAUCAAAACCCUCUGCUUGUUACUUGCAACCCUUCAGAGUAUAAGGUCUGAUCUGCUCUGGUUUUAAAGAUCUCUGGUUCCUUGUCGCCCUAUUCUCUUUCCAAACCGACGUUCUGCAGAUGGAUUUCGAGACUGAAACUCUUUUUUUUUAUUCUAUCUGAGACGUAUACAAUCUACCAGGCUUUUCGGAGGACUUCAAUCAGGUUUUUAAGUAGGAAAUAAGCUUUAUGUUCUUCACUGAUCGUUAGCUCAUUAGUCAUUCUCAUUUCCUUGUUUCUGAUUCUACUACGCUACUUCUUUCGUUGAGUUUAUGUCAUUGACUUUGUUGGGCCUCCACUGAUGCAUAUCAUGCUUUGAGAUAUUCCACAUUAGGGCUUUAAGUUGGAAGAAUAUUGGAACAGUUUUAGCUCGUUAACUUAUACAAUCUGCCAUUAUCUUGUUGGAACAGUUUUAGCUGGUUAACUUAUACAAUCUGCAAUUAUCUUUACUUGAUCUGUGUGCUAGAAUUCUUUUAUUUAGGGAUCAACGACGUGUCUUAACAAUCUCACUGGAAUGCAACAGGUUCUGAAGACUAAUUUUCAUUGUCUUUAUCUCUAAGUUACUUUUGACCUUUUUUCUUGUCCAAAUUGCAUCUGUUGGUUUUUCUGUUUAUGUUGAUUACUUGCGUUAUUCACAGUGGAUGAUGCAGGAGACGGAUGUUUUCUGGUCUCUGAUGGUUGCCUCUUCAAUUGAUAGUUCUCAGCGUUUCUCCUUUUGGCGAUUGCACUUUACAGGGGUUUCAUAUCUCCAUCGUUUUUAAAAAAAAAAAAUCGUAAAAUAAGUUAUUGUUGGGUUUUUUGAUUAAUGAGACAACUUUAUUGGUUGCAUUGUAGGCGACUCAGGAGGGUUUGAAUAUUGUCUAGUUACCUCAGCAUACAUACACACCUUUCGCUUCUACUUGUGCAUCAGGUAUGAUACGUAGAGAUGUUGGUGCCCUACCUAUCCUUGAUUUUGGAUCCCUUCCUUUUCACACUUUCAGGUAUGCUGAAGAUGCAUCUGGGAUACAAGCUGCCUAAGAUAGCUUUCUGUUAAAUUUGUCACAAUGCAAUAGGAUUUAUACUUGCAGACACCCAGAAUGGUCAAUAGAUGCUUGUUGAGCUCACAAGUUCAGUUUUCUACCCCGGCCCUUUUCAAGUUUUGGUUCCUGAGGAAAUGUGGCACUGAUUUAGAGAUGAGAAUAAAUCUUGUAAAAGGAAGCAGAAGCAGCUCCCCUAGGACUUGUUGGAUCUGGUUAAUCAUCUUCUGAUAUGAUCUUAGUCUUGCAUGUAUUGUCUGUGGAUUCAGGUUAAGUCAUUUGGAAAUCUUUCACGUAUGUUUUCCUGUUCUUAAUUUGCAGCUUUCUGAUGAUGACCUCCUUGUUUGCUUUGCUCACUUAUUAUCAGGAUUGGGUCUGGUUUCUGAUUUUCAUUGUUCCUCCUUUGCGUCAGUUCUAUGUGACUCCUGCAUAAUUUCGGUGUAAAGCAAAAGAGUUUCUCCAGCGAUCUAUGAUUGCAGCUGGAGACUUUUCUCAAACCGUGACAGGACCAGACACCGCCUUUUAAGUGUCAGGUCAACAGAAAAAAUCUUCACGUUCGAUGUCUCGAGGAAUGGUUUCAAAAGAUCGGUUGCUUCUUGUCUCUGGUUUAUGUGGUUGAUAUUUGUUUGCUUUAGAUAUUAGGUGAUACGAGGGGUUCUCCUGAGUUUAGUUUUUUAUUUUAUUUUUGUGUGUUCUCUUUGUAUUUGGCAGUGUGAUUGAUUAGUUGGCUUGAAAUGGUCCUUGUUCAGACUCUUCAGAGCUCUUGACUGUGGAGGUUUGCUACUUUGUGCGAGGAUGUGCAGGAAGAUAACAGUUACGACUUACAAGUGCAGAUUGGAGCCACCGCUAUUUCCGUUAUCACCUAUCAGGGGCCAAAAGAUGCUCGCAGUGCUUUGAUCCUAGUAGUUGGUAACAGAUCAGAUUCUUGAGCUCUUAACGGUUUGCUUCUCUGUGGGAGUGUUUUCUCAAUUUUACCUUAAAAAUUGUAUGUUGAAGAUACGCCUGAGAUACAAACUCCCUUGUGCUUACUUUGAGUCGAAAGAUAGCUUUCUGUUUAAUGUGUCACAACAAUACUUGGAUCAAAACCUCUGCUUAUUGCAACUUGCAGGCACCGAGUGUGUAAGCCUUAUACUGCUCUCUUUUAAGUGACCUCUGUUUUCUUGUCGCUUUAUUUUCUUCCCAGACUGAUGGUGUGCAGGUCAAUAGAUGCUUGUUGAGGAUAUUUGGCUUUCUUGAUGGACAUCGAACAUCGCCAGUUACAUCCACUAUUUGAUCCAUUCAUGCACUACCUACCUCUUUUGUUUUAGCGCUGAUGAAGGUUCUUCGGAUAUAUUUUGAUCAUUGUGUUCUUCAUCGAGAUAAUAUGUUGAUGAAGGCUCUUCAGAUCUUGAUUUUGUGGUUCAAUUCUCUGUAUGGGGUUUUUCGUCUAUAUUUCAGCUUAAAUCUUGGUCACAUAUGCUUGCUUGUUCAAGAGUUCAGGUAUGUGGAAAAGGCAAACGGAGAAGCCGGUAUUUUAUGAUCUUUCUAAUCCUUCAUUAUAGGGAAAUGCUAAAGGCUUAAGAUGCAAGCUUCUGUGACUUAAAACGGUUAAAUUGCUCGGAUUCUUAAACCCUUGAUGAUUUAUUUCUUUCUUGUCCAUGAAAUUUUCCUAUUUUAGAUAGUAGCUUUUUUUUUGUCAGGUCUUUUAGCCAGGUCAAGAGGAACGUUAUGGCAGCAUUUGUUACCCCGUGGCAUCAAUCUUUUUUUCAGUUAGGUUAAUACGUGUCCUAUUGGGGUUUAGAGUGAUUUUCUCUGAAUUUAAAAGGUUUACAGGUCGUGUCUGGAAGAUGUAGAAGAGGUUUUGAAUCGAAGGGCUGUGUUUGGAGAAUUUAUGCAAGGGAAUUUGAUUUUAUCUCGCGUAUCCUUGUCCCACAUACCUCGUAGACAAUAUGAUUUAUACAUUACAUAUCUUUGUUAUAGGUUGUCGUUCAAGAUGAGUCUAGAUUUUCAUGUUCCAUCAUAAAAUUUUCAGGUUCCUUCUUUUCUUCAGUUGAGAUAUUUUUGUGUUGAAGGUUUCUGAGUUUAUGUGAUUAGUUGGUAUUAUAAUGUGUUGUGAUACUGCUUUAUAUGUUUCUACUUGGUUUUAAGGGUACGUGCUCUCUUGAUUGCUUCUAUUUGCUAGUAUUGUGUCGCAAAGCUCUAUAUUUGAUCUCCUACAUUUGCCUUACUUCUGUCUUCUGCUUUUUCUAAUAGUAACAAUGCUUUCUUAUGGUUUUAGUUGUUCAUUGUAGAUUAGAUACGAAAUUUGCUUCAUAAUUAUGCUUUCUGAAAUAUUUCAUAAUGUUGCAAGUCAUUUGUUGUUCUCUCCCUUUCGGCAGAUAUUUACAGACCAUUUGUUAAGUAUCAGUAUUGAGAGUGAGAGAACCUUCUUGGAGAUACCAUAUCAGUUUCUGCUUAUGUUGGAGAGCGUUAGUGGUGUAUGUAUAUCAAGCUAUGUGUAUUAACAUUGACCUCCUUCUGUUUGUAGAAGUUACUUUACUUUUGUCAUUUUAGUUAAGUUCAGAGGAUUCAAGUUUUGGGUUCCCAUUGGCUGAGUGGAGAACCUCACUCAUAGUUGUCACCCAUAUCUGAUGGACCGUUUAGAUCGAAAUGUGUCCAAGGAGGUUUCAUGUGGUAGGUUUUGUGAUAUCUGAUUCUUGUUGUCCUCGUCUCUUAUUAAGCUUUCAGACUUUCUUCAUCAAUAGCAUUAUACAUUAUUUGUCACAUUCAGAUUAAUUAAGUUAACAAAUUUCUGAA